UAUAGGAUCAAGAGUCUGGGAACU
rnacentral:siRNA from 1 species